CCUACGGGAGGCAGCAGUGGGGAAUAUUGCGCAAUGGGCGAAAGCCUGACGCAGCGACGCCGCGUGAGGGAUGAAGGUCUUCGGAUCGUAAACCUCUGUUAGCAGGGAAGAACGGUCACUGUGCUAAUCAUCAGUGAAUUGACGGUAUCUGCAAAGGAAGCACCGGCUAACUCCGUGCCAGCAGCCGCGGUAAUACGGAGGGUGCGUGCGUUAAUCGGAUUUACUGGGCGUAAAGCGCUCGUAGGCGGUAUGUCAAGUCAAGGGUGAAAUCCCCGCGCUCAACGGGGGAACUGCCUUUGAGACUGGAAAACUUGAGUGUGGGAGAGGAUAGUGGAAUUCCAGGUGUAGGAGUGAAAUGCGUAGAUAUCUGGAGGAACAUCAGUGGCGAAGGCGACUAUCUGGCACAUAACUGACGCUGAGGAGCGAAAGCGUGGGUAGCAAACAGGAUUAGAUACCCGAGUAGUC
rnacentral:rRNA from 1 species